AGAGUUUGAUCCUGGCUCAGAUUGAACGCUGGCGGCAUGCCUUACACAUGCAAGUCGAACGGCAGCAUAGGAGCUUGCUCCUGAUGGCGAGUGGCGAACGGGUGAGUAAUAUAUCGGAACGUGCCCUAGAGUGGGGGAUAACUAGUCGAAAGACUAGCUAAUACCGCAUACGAUCUACGGAUGAAAGUGGGGGAUCGCAAGACCUCAUGCUCCUGGAGCGGCCGAUAUCUGAUUAGCUAGUUGGUGGGGUAAAAGCCUACCAAGGCAACGAUCAGUAGCUGGUCUGAGAGGACGACCAGCCACACUGGGACUGAGACACGGCCCAGACUCCUACGGGAGGCAGCAGUGGGGAAUUUUGGACAAUGGGGGCAACCCUGAUCCAGCAAUGCCGCGUGAGUGAAGAAGGCCUUCGGGUUGUAAAGCUCUUUUGUCAGGGAAGAAACGGUAGUAGCGAAUAACUAUUACUAAUGACGG
rnacentral:rRNA from 1 species